CGUUCCCCUGCAUGUCGCGGCGCCGCCGUCUCUGCCCCCGCCUCCUCCCCCGGCGCCCGUCACCAUGAUCAUCUCCAAGAAGAACCGCCGCGAGAUCUGCAAGUACCUCUUCCAGGAGGGAGUCUUGUAUGCCAAGAAGGACUACAACCUGGCCAAGCACCCCCAGGUCGAUGCCUUGAAC